UGUCCGCGUCGCCGUUGCCUAGCCCUGCUCUCCGUAUGGUCCCGCAGGCCCGCGUGGCGUCCUCUCCUCACCGCACGGGGCGGCUCGCACGGCGCCACCUGCCAGGCCCGGCGCAGGGGCUCACGGAUUCCCCGGCCCGGAGUUGUGGUCACGCGUGGGGCCCGCCACUUCCCUUGGUUGCGGAGUUCUCGGAGCUCUUGGCACGCUGUACAGUCCUAGGCUCCAGGGAACUCACGUCCCCCAGGUCCGCGGCGGGCCCGGGAUGUGUCACAUACUGAUGUCGCGGUGGGGUCCAGCGCUUUCCUGAGUGUAGAGUUAGAGUCCCGAGGGACCUGAAGCAUCCAGUCAGGGCAGAGGCGGCUAGGACUGAGCUGGAGAGGCGGGCGAGUAGCUGUAGCUGGAGGUGUUUUGAAGUAGAAGGGUGACUCCUUUUGCACAAUUGCUUUUGAAUGGAAGGAUGCUCUUUUCCUGAUAGAAGAUGAUGGUCUUGGAGAAUGAUCAUGGAGAAGGGGAUGAAUUCUGGAGAAGGACUGCCUUCCAGAUCAUGUCAGGCGCCUGCUGCUAAAGCAACAGUCAAGGAGUUAGAAACCCAGCAGCCCUGUAAGGAGAAGCGAGGGGGCUUUGUGCUGGUGCAUGCAGGUGCAGGCUAUCAUUCUGAAUCCAAAGCCAAGGAAUAUAAACAUGUAUGCAAACGAGCUUGUCAGAAGGCGAUUGAGAAGCUCCAGGCUGGUGCUCCUGCAACAGAUGCCGUGGCCGCCGCUCUGGUGGAGCUUGAGGUGUAUACACACAAUUACACUUCAUGGAGUUGCAUCCAGCCAAGUCUCUAUGUUCUUCUUGUGAAGAGGCAGAGAAAAUCACCUCUCCCAAGAAUUUCCAUCUCCUGCCAAGGGAACUGUGUUCUGAAGAGCUGUACCCAGACGGGAGGCACCUUGUUUGCUUGCUCUGCUGCCAGAGCAUUGAGUAAUUAGAAGACAGGCUGGGUGGCCAGCACCAGGCAGAGCCCAGGUAGCCUGGGACGGUAAAACACUCAGCUUGUCUCCUAGGCUAAAGCUAGUUCUACUUCAGAGCUGCUGCUGUCCUUGGUGGUGGUCAUACACUACUGCUAUCUCCAAAAUGCUGUGGUAUCUGCAACUAUGGUACGUGUUCACCAAUACCCUCUCCUGGACUCUCUUUUGGGACUCUGACCUUGCCAAAUACUAUCAAGUUUCCCAUGAGCCCUUCAGACCUUGGCUUUCUACCUCAUCUGAGUCUGUAUCCUCACCAAUAACCUUUCAUCAAAGAUUAUAGCCCUGCUGUAUAGUGCUAACCUUUAGUUGCUCUUUAUGCCUUUAAAACCAGUACCACUUUGGAAAGUCUUACACAUUAUCAAGUUGAGCUGCCAGCUUAAGCUACACUCUUAACCCCUGCUGGCCCACAGUUUCAGUUUGCUGACUCUGUGGAAAUACUUCCAAAGGUUUCACUUUAAUGAUGAUGGCCUCUUAAGUACAGCCAACUCCAUCCUUAACCAGUGUCAGUUGCUCCAGUGAAGCAAAGAUUUUACUCUAGAGGUUCAAGUCUCUUCAUAACAACAGCUGAUAUUUCAACUCCAGCUGACUAGAACCACAGACUCUUAAGACUCACAAUGCCAACAAGCACUAGUAGAGUCUUUAUGCAACUUCCAAAACUCCUCUCAGAAACCUUAUAAGCCAAGCUCCAGUUGUCUGCACUGUUCUCAGCAUUCUUACCUUCCAGAUUCCCACAGCAAGCUCUGGACACUCAGUGAUUUCCCAGUCCAAUGUUCCAAAAUCCUUCCACUAACCUUCUUUAAAUAUGGUCAAGUCAAUCACAGCAAUAUUUUACUUCUGGUACCAGUUCUUGGCUUAAGUAGGGUUUCUAUUGUGAUAAAAUACUGUGACCAAUAGCCACUUGGAGUAGAAAGGGUUUAUUUCAGCUUCCAGUUCCACAUCACAGUCCACCAUUGAAAGGAAGUCAGGGCAUGAACUCAAACAGGGAAGACACUGGAGGCAGACUAUGGAGGACUGCUGCGUACUGGCUUGCUUCCCACAGCCCAUUGCAGCCAGGACCACCAGCCCAGGGGUAGCAUUGCCCACAGUGAUCUG